rnacentral:rRNA from 1 species
GACGAACGCUGGCGGCGUGCUUAACACAUGCAAGUCGAACGGUAAGGCCCCUUCGGGGGUACACGAGUGGCGAACGGGUGAGUAACACGUGAGCAACCUGCCCUUGACUUCGGGAUACCAGUUGGAAACAGCUGCUAAUACCGGAUAUGACUCUCCUCCGCAUGGUGGGGGGUGGAAAGCUCCGGCGGUCAGGGAUGGGCUCGCGGCCUAUCAGCUUGUUGGUGAGGUGAUGGCUCACCAAGGCUUCGACGGGUAGCCGGCCUGAGAGGGCGACCGGCCACACUGGGACUGAGAUACGGCCCAGACUCCUACGGGAGGCAGCAGUGGGGAAUAUUGCACAAUGGGCGCAAGCCUGAUGCAGCAACGCCGCGUGCGGGAUGACGGCCUUCGGGUUGUAAACCGCUUUCAGUAGGGACGAAGCUAACGUGACGGUACCUACAGAAGAAGGACCGGCUAACUACGUGCCAGCAGCCGCAGUAAGAC